rnacentral:rRNA from 1 species
CCUACGGGAGGCAGCAGUGAGGAAUAUUGGUCAAUGGGCGGAAGCCUGAACCAGCCAAGUAGCGUGCAGGAUGACGGCCCUACGGGUUGUAAACUGCUUUUAUACGGGAAUAACGCGCCUUACGUGUAGGGCUUUGCAUGUACCGUAUGUAUAAGGACCGGCUAAUUCCGUGCCAGCAGCCGCGGUAAUACGGAAGGACCGGGCGUUAGCCGGAUUUUAUGGGUUUAAAGGGAGCGUAGGCCGCAUGUAAAGCGUGCUGUGAAAUGUCCGGGCUCAACCCGGGCCUUGCAGCGCGAACUGGCGUGCUUGAGUCCGCGGAAAGCAGGCGGAAUUCGUCGUGUAGCGGUGAAAUGCUUAGAUAUGACGAAGAACCCCGAUUGCGAAGGCAGCUUGCUGCAGCGGAACUGACGCUGAUGCUCGAAAGCGCGGGUAUCGAACAGGAUUAGAUACCCGGGUAGUC